UAAUUGAGAAGGAAGUCAUAAAUAGUCAGUGCCAAAAGUUGCACAUUAAUUAAUUAUGCUAAUUAGAAAAUGAGAUCGAAAAAGUUAGCGCCAUCUAGUGUUCAAUGCUUAUAUUACUCCAUGGGGAGCCUAAUUCCAUGCUGCUGUCUAUUUAAAUCAUAUAUUAUUAUUGUGUGUGUGAGUG